rnacentral:tRNA from 4 species
GCGCUGCUAGCUCAACGGUUGAGCAGGUCCCUCUUAAGGACAAGGUUGCUGGUUCAAAUCCGGCGCAGCGCA